rnacentral:rRNA from 1 species
UACGAAGGGGGCUAGCGUUGUUCGGAUUUACUGGGCGUAAAGCGCACGUAGGCGGAUCUUUAAGUCCGUUGUGAAAUCCCUGGGCUCAACCUGGGAAUGGCAGUGGAUACUGGAAAGCUAGAGUGCGGUAGAGGGUAGUGGAAUUCCCGGUGUAGCAGUGAAAUGCGUAGAGAUCGGGAGGAACACCAGUGGCGAAGGCGGCUACCUGGACCAGCACUGACACUGAGGCACGAAAGCGUGGGGAGCAAACAGGG